GGGGAUGUAGCUCAGUGUGGAGUGCAUGCUUUGCAUGUAUGAGGCUCCGGGUUCAAACCCUGGCAUCAACA
rfam:Salmo salar isolate Sally breed double haploid chromosome ssa01, whole genome shotgun sequence.